GAUGAACGCUGGCGGCGUGCCUAAUACAUGCCAGUCGAGCGAACAGACGAGGAGCUUGCUCCUCUGACGUUAGCGGCGGACGGGUGAGUAACACGUGGAUAACCUACCUAUAAGACUGGGAUAACUUCGGGAAACCGGAGCUAAUACCGGAUAAUAUAUUGAACCGCAUGGUUCAAUAGUGAAAGACGGUUUUGCUGUCACUUAUGGAUGGAUCCGCGCCGCAUUAGCUAGUUGGUAAGGUAACGGCUUACCAAGGCAACGAUGCGUAGCCGACCUGAGAGGGUGAUCGGCCACACUGGAACUGAGACACGGUCCAGACUCCUACGGGAGGCAGCAGUAGGGAAUCUUCCGCAAUGGGCGAAAGCCUGACGGAGCAACGCCGCGUGAGUGAUGAAGGUCUUCGGAUCGUAAAACUCUGUUAUUAGGGAAGAACAAAUGUGUAAGUAACUAUGCACGUCUUGACGGUACCUAAUCAGAAAGCCACGGCUAACUACG
rnacentral:rRNA from 1 species